CCUCGGGCCGCUCCGCGUGCCCGGGCUGCCGCCCUCCGGAAGCCCCGACCCCACCAAGGCUCCGGGAAUUCUGGGUAGUGUAGUCCGACUUCUGUCUCCGGUCCAGGCACCCCGACAGGUGGUCAGGGCCUGUUGGGCACCGACUGUGAUCAACACUGGACAAGCCUAGUCAUUUCAUUUACCAUCAGCCAGAGCCCCCAUGAGAAGCUUAUCGUGUGUAUUUCACAGGGAAUCCAAAGCUGGGAGAUUUCCAAGACCUGCCCGCCAGUCCCACCCAGGCGCAGGGCAGAGCAUCCUGACGGCCAGUGAGGGCAGGAUUUGGAGGAGCGGAGGGUUCCCAGCACUCUGAGGUCUCCUCUUUGAGGGGUGAUCAGCCAGCCAAAUGAUCCAUCUCAUACCAGCAACCAGCUCAGGCCACAGGCAGGAAGUGUCCAGUCGAGGUGGCCACUGCGUCAUGCCCAGCUGCACCCCUGCCCUUGCCCUGAUGACUGCCACGGGCCCUGAGCCUAAUGAGGAGUCAUCCCUUUCCAGGCAGGUCAGCUAGUAAGUGGUUUAUUCCUGGUCCUGCUGACUGAGACCAAGGUGUGGUGGCCCUCGGGAUCUGCCUACUGCCAGGAGGGAGGAACCCCAUAGGGCUCCGAGGGACCCCGUGUAAAUUUCCACUUCCGGGAAGAAGCUUUUCCUGGCCUCAACCCACAGCGUCUUCUCCCUGCCAUGAACCCGUGGCCUCCACCAAACAUCCUGCCCUUCUUGGAUGCAUCUCAGCCUUCACCCACUUCAGCUGGCGGAUUCUUUACCACUGAGCCACAGGGGAAGCCUGCACUUCUUGCUCAUCCGACGUGAAAGAACAGAAGUCAGAACCCUAAAGUGCCUCCUAAGCAGCCACGCCCCCGGAGAUGAUUUCCAAGAGUCGAGUGUCCUUGAUGCCUCUUAGAAGUGACAUUACACCCUGCAGUUCUGGGCUUGGUUGGCCUGGGUUCAUGAUGAUGAUGAUGAUGAUGAUGAUAAGGUCUGAUCAGCUGGCCUCCCCACCAUCUCAGGCCCCUGCAUUCCCUCCCCCAUAUUGACCAGACAACUGCGCUGGGGGCUCAGAAGACACUGGGGAACACAGGCAGGCCCUAGACAGACAACAGACCUGCUCCCCUCAGCACUCACAUCCCCGUGGGUCCCAGAGAUGCCAAGAAUGAUGAAUAGAGGUAUUAACAUGAAUAAUAAAUGGUACAAAUUCA